rnacentral:rRNA from 1 species
UACGUAGGGUGCGAGCGUUGUCCGGAAUACUGGGCGUAAAGCGUGCGCAGGCGGUGAUGUAAGACAGAUGUGAAAUCCCCGGGCUCAACCUGGGAACUGCAUUUGUGACUGCAUCGCUGGAGUGCGGCAGAGGGGGAUGGAAUUCCGCGUGUAGCAGUGAAAUGCGUAGAUAUGCGGAGGAACACCGAUGGCGAAGGCAAUCCCCUGGGCCUGCACUGACGCUCAUGCACGAAAGCGUGGGGAGCAACAGG